GCCAUAGAUAGUUCAGUGAUUAGAAUACUGGUCUUGUAAACCAGGGGUUGUGAGUUCAAUCCUCACUGCUGGGUG